UUCUAUUCUUAACUGACUUCUGUAAUCUGUACCAUUUCCUAAAACCCCUUAUCUCCAUAGGAACUCCCUGAAACAAAAAUAUUUCCACCAAUGGCAGAACGCAGUACUCCUGUGCCUUCCUCUUGAAGCCUGAAAAGUGCUUUUUCUUCACAUUGGGAGGGGGAAGGGACCUUCCUGACAUUGGCCUAUAUUACUCAGGAUGUAGCUCAAGAUCCAGAAGAUGGGUCUCCUGGUUAUACGAAAUCAGGACAUGGUGUGAACACUGAUCAGCCAGGGACUGACACAAAGUGGUCCCCAAAGAAGGAAGAUUGGACAGAAACAAGAGGCAACUGAGAAGAGCCACAUUUUUAGUGAAAUUCCACUUUGAUAAACCCUCUGGAAGAAAUAGUUUUUUACAAAGAACUUGGACUUGUUCGGGUAUCCCCCAGGCUUCCACACACCCCAGGAGACGUGGGAAGCUGACCCCCCACUCCACAGUUCCCAGGAGUGAGCCUGAUUUAAUAAGGAUCAUCUUGUUCCUGCAGAGGAGAGGUGAGCAAGCCUUUCCUGUGAAGGGCCAGAUAGUAAACACUUUAGGCUCUGUGGUCAGACACCCCUGUGGCGACCACUCAGGCCACUGUAGUGCAAAAGCAGCUCAAACAACACAUAAAUGAAUGGGUGUGGCUGAGUUCCAAGAAAACUUUACUUGGGAACACUAAAUUGUUAAUUCCUUAUAGUGUUCACCUCAUAAAAUGUCGUUC